rnacentral:tRNA from 1 species
GCCCGGGUGGCGGAACUGGUAGACGCAGCGGACUUAAAAUCCGCAGGCCCGCGAGGGUCGUGCCGGUUCGAUUCCGGCUCCGGGCA